UUAGCUUUGUUGUCAAGCCAACCACUACAACAAAUUUGGGUUUAUACAACGAAUUGAUAUGCAAGGAUUGAUAAAUUCUUUGCAAUAGGUUGUAUUAUACAAAGAAUACCAUAGUUCCUUGCAUUUAGUUUGCAUAACAUGUAAGGAAAACAUGAAUUCCUUGCAUUUGGUCUACCAAAUUGAAAAACAUGUAAAACUCCUUGUAUAUACUUUUCAUUUCCUUGCAUACGAUUGAGCAGGGUCUUUGCCGCUCCAUUCAUUUAAUCUAUUUCUCUCUCCAUCUUUUAUUCACUUACUCUCUCUCUCUCUCUCUCUCUCUCUCUCUCUCUCUCUCUCAAGCGCAGAUCCAAUAACACACCACACACCCAAAUCUGAAUCUCGCCUCUUCCAUCCGUUUUCGUCAUCUCCUUCUCCUUUACAGGCUCAAAUCCCGCUCCAUUGCCUCUUAAUCCCAAGCCCAGAACAGAUGCUUCUCUCCUAUAUCUUGAAUCGGUUUCUUUUCUUCGAUUUGGAUUUGGGUUUUGUUGGGUUCUUUGAUUUCGGUCUAUGAUAACACCCACCUCCUUUUUCUCUCCGGGUUUCUGUUUUGAUGUGGGUAUUGUUAAUUUGUUCAAUUUUUCCUGUAAUAGCAGGCCUUGCUUCCUAAUCUGGGUCUUUACUAUCCUCUACUCACUCUUGGUAUGACAUCUCUCUUUCAGCAUUUUUGGGUUUUCUUCUGUAAUCUUUUUCUUUAUCAUGUUAAUUUGUGAUUUAGGUCAUUAUCGAUAAUUUCCUCCCUUAUAAUCUCACUCAAUUUUUUUCUUUCCCAUUAGCAAAACAAUACAUGGUCUUGCUGGAUGUUCAAGCAGGUUAGUAGAAAGACUUGGCCCCCUUUAUUUUCUUUUUGAUUUGUAUUGCAGAUAAGGCUAGUAGAAAGACUUGCUUUAACAACCCGAUGUGGCCUGUCUUUAAGCUUGCUUUUGCUAUGCUUGACGUAUUACUCAAACUUGUGGAAUCAUCAUAAGUUCAGCUAGAGUUGAGAUAAACUUUGAACUGUUAGUUUUUUUGAUUGGAGCACAUGUUAUUAAUUUAGCUAUUAUUCAAUGUUUAUUAGAGAAGUGAUGGAUUUUGUUAUUCCCAAUAGGUCUUGCAAAGCUUUUCUGGACUUGCUGGAGACACAAUUGUUAGAGUGACUACUGUGACUUAAUUCGAUUAAGUAUUUUCCUCAAUUGUCAUUGUGGGCGGAGCUGUAUAAUAGAGAUGAUCCUAACACUCCUCCAAACUCUUUUCCCGUGUGACCUUCAUUGUCGUCUUCACGUUCUCCUCUCCAGUCAACAAUGGCAGACGACGAUGUCAACGACAUUGAUAUGGGGUUGUCUCUGAGUGCCUCAUAGUUAUCAAUACUUCAUAAAAUUGUGAUGAGGCGGAAGGCCAGUUAUUGAGGUCAUUAUAUUCAGCACUGCCCUACAAAUGGUGAUCCAAAUUAUGACAUCAAAAGAGUGAAACCACCCACUGGCAUUCCCAAGUCCAUGGUGAUAGCAACCCCAGAUGGCUCAUAUGCACUGCCGAGUGGUGCAGUAGCUGUAUUGAGGCCG
rnacentral:lncRNA from 1 species